rnacentral:rRNA from 1 species
GAUGAACGCUGGCGGCGUGCCUAAUACAUGCAAGUCGAGCGAACAGACGAGGAGCUUGCUCCUCUGACGUUAGCGGCGGACGGGUGAGUAACACGUGGAUAACCUACCUAUAAGACUGGGAUAACUUCGGGAAACCGGAGCUAAUACCGGAUAAUAUAUUGAACCGCAUGGUUCAAUAGUGAAAGACGGUUUUGCUGUCACUUAUAGAUGGAUCCGCGCCGCAUUAGCUAGUUGGUAAGGUAACGGCUUACCAAGGCGACGAUGCGUAGCCGACCUGAGAGGGUGAUCGGCUACACUGGAACUGAGACACGGUCCAGACUCCUAAGGGAGGCAGCAGUAGGGAAUCUUCCGCAAUGGGCGAAAGCCUGACGGAGCAACGCCGCGUGAGUGAUGAAGGUCUUCGGAUCGUAAAACUCUGUUAUUAGGGAAGAACAAAUGUGUAAGUAACUAUGCACGUCUUGACGGUACCUAAUCAGAAAGCCACGGCUAACUACGUG